rnacentral:pre_miRNA from 1 species
AGCUUUUUGAAUCCGUGCUGAGAUUUCGUCAGACACCAACCCAUUAGGGCUGAUCAGAC